CUUUUCAUCUGCAGAUGUUAAAGGUCAAGUGUUUUUACAGCCUGUGCACAUCCGUUUAUGGAUGUUCAGACAUAGAGCAAAUAUUUUGAAAUGCGUGAGAAAUUACUAGGUCCGCGUGAGACCGUCAUUGCAUGCCAAAAACCGUGAGACUCACGGCAAAACCGUGAGACUUGACAGGUUUCGGUAGGAGGCAAUGUCUGAAGUUCAGCCAAUUUGCAUACCGGUAUUUGAAAUGAGCAGAUGUUCCUGAAUAGAGAUGGGGCUACAUGACUGCAAAUUGUGAGUACGUUCUACUUAAGACACCACUUUGCUGUCGGCAGCUAUCCAAGUGAAUGCUUCGUGCACCAUGUUGGAAAGAAGUUAGAUUAUACAUGAACUAUACACUAGUCUAAUAAUAAGCCUUAUUAUUUGUGCAAAGUCAAUUGUGAUUUACAUUUUUUAAUGGUUGCAUACUUACAUUUGAAAUGCAUUUUUUCACUUGAAAUGUCUUUAAAUAGCCUACUGGUAAAAGGAAACACUUGAAAG